ensembl:lncRNA
CCACAAGUCAUGUGUUGUUAGAGCCAGCUGUCGUGUUCUUGAAGUGGAGCAAACACCGCUGUUCAAGAGGUGACAUUCUGCCUUAUCAAGCGCUCAUGCGUUGCUAGUUAACUAUGUUUUUGUGGCAUUUACAGUGCUUAAAAUGCUGACACACUUGCCUCACAGCUAGCUAAAAUGGCUAGAUACUUCACAGAAGCUGUCAGUGCUAGCCAAAUGCAUUACGAGAGGUGACGUUAGCUAAAAGCGGAACUUCGGUCUACCGGUUCUUCACUGAAACUGGCACUCCGGUGUGACUCGUGGACCCAGUCCGAGUGGUUGCUGGCAGCCCCGUAUGUGCAGCGCAAGGAGAAAGAGAAUCGGACAGUUAAUGUUUGCCAAAUCAUCCAUGGUUCCUACACAGGCUCAGAAGACUCGUGAGGGUGGGUCAUUUCCUAACAACAAUGGUCUUUGCAGUGCUUCUGCCUUGGAGUCUUGGAGCCCCAAAAACGUAUCGGCUGCAGAUAUAUUAUCCAACUUCUUAUACACUUGUGCUGUAUAAUGAAUCACUGUAGUUAUAAAUGCCACACAAUCCACCUUCACAAUGACUGUGCCCAGAACACUUGAUUGGCUUAAAACACCAGCUGGUUUCAAUGCAUCCACCGCCACAUCUUCAACACUGUGGCCUAUUGAUGCUUCUACUCUUCACUGUCUCCACAUAGGAAAUCCGCUGCACAGCCCUGAUCCUCGACGCUUUGAUCUCCUUCACUCAAGGAAGUCUGGCGUAAGAUCCCUACCACAGUUGCAACAUUUUCCAUUCACAUAUUCUUCAAAUCCAUACUUAUCCUGUCUACAAACAUUUGACACGUGACCAUAUCCUUUACAAUUCCCACAAUGUCAUGGUUUGGACACAAAUGCUCUCACUGCAUACCUCAUAUCCAAGCUUCACAUAUUCA